rnacentral:rRNA from 1 species
GGCCGCGGGAAUUCGAUUAAGCAAUUCGCUGAAGGAGGGGGUCGCGGCUGAUUAGUUAGUUGGUGAGGUAACGGCCCACCAAGACGAAGAUCAGUAGCCGGCCUGAGAGGGCGCACGGCCACACUGGAACUGAAACACGGUCCAGACUCCUACGGGAGGCAGCAGUGGGGAAUUUUGCGCAAUGGGGGAAACCCUGACGCAGCAACGCCGCGUGGAGGAUGAAGUCCCUUGGGAUGUAAACUCCUUUCGAUCGGGACGAUGAUGACGGUACCGGAAGAAGAAGCACCGGCUAACUACGUG